ACUCAAAGGAAUAGACGGGGGCCCGCACAAGCGGUGGAGCAUGUGGUUUAAUUCGACGCAACGCGAAGAACCUUACCAAGGCUUGACAUCCACAGAACCCUUAGGAAACUAGGGGGUGCCCUUCGGGGAGCUGUGAGACAGGUGGUGCAUGGUUGUCGUCAGCUCGUGUCGUGAGAUGUUGGGUUAAGUCCCGCAACGAGCGCAACCCCUAUAUUUAGUUGCUAACGAGUAGAGUCGAGCACUCUAGAUAGACUGCCGGUGAUAAACCGGAGGAAGGUGGGGAUGACGUCAAAUCAUCAUGCCCCUUAUGUCUUGGGCUACACACGUGCUACAAUGGCCGGUACAGACGGAAGCGAAGCCGCGAGGUGGAGCAAAUCCGAGAAAGCCGGUCUCAGUUCGGAUUGUUCUCUGCAACUCGAGAACAUGAAGUCGGAAUCGCUAGUAAUCGCAGGUCAGCAUACUGCGGUGAAUACGUUCCCGGGCCUUGUACACACCGCCCGU
rnacentral:rRNA from 1 species